rnacentral:snRNA from 1 species
GAAUGUAGGGGUGUUCUGGCUGUGACAGCUGCCACCACAUCAAUUGCUGAUCUGGUUGGCAUCCUAGGUGGGUGUCCCCUUUUGCCCCUCACACCUCUAAUGAUGACAUUCUCUUUUAGAGGUCUUCAGGCCAGAGUAUCCCGGUAACUAUGCCUGCCUUCUAGAACCUCCAAACAAGCUCUCACAAAGGCACUUACUGUAUGGCCAUACCACCCUGCAGACGCUGGAUCUCAUCACAAAGUAGUAGAUAUGUUCAAAGAAUUUCUAAAUGCUUGAGAAAAUACCUGU